rnacentral:lncRNA from 1 species
AUGAUUUACAUUAGUUGUGUGAGGAUGAUGGAGCAUAGCCAGGCUAUAUGAUUUUGUAGGGAUAACUUUCUUUGGCCUUGUUAUUUUGAAAGUUCAUGAUUACUUUGCUAGUUUGCUUGAAGUAUUACUGUUUUCAUGUCAAUAGCAAACUAUUGUUUUGAAUCUUACGGAUCUGAACAUUCAUGUCACGUGAAAGAAGUUGCAAAGGAAAACUAUGCUAGG